rnacentral:rRNA from 1 species
GAUGAACGCUGGCGGCAGGCUUAAUACAUGCAAGUUGAACGGUAACAUGUUGUAGCAAUACGAUGAUGACGAGUGGCGCACGGGUGCGUAACACGUGUGUAACCUACCUUAUACAGGAACAUAACGUUGAGAAAUCGGCGCUAACAUUCCAUAAUAUUAUUUGUAGGCAUCUAUGAAUAAUUAAAACUCCGGUGGUAUAAGAUGGGCACGCGUUCCAUUAGCUAGUUGGUAAGGUAACGGCUUACCAAGGCAACGAUGGAUAGGGGUUCUGAGAGGAUAAUCCCCCACACUGGAACUGAGACACGGUCCAGACUCCUACGGGAGGCAGCAGUAAGGAAUAUUGGGCAAUGGAGGCAACUCUGACCCAGCCAUGCCGCGUGCAGGAAGACGGCCCUAUGGGUUGUAAAACUGCUUUUAAUAGGGAUUAAAGUCGACUACGUGUAGUUGUUUGCAAGUACCUAUAGAAUAAGCAUCGGCUAACUCCGUGCCAGCAGCCGCGGUAA